ACCUGGGUGGCUCAGUGGGUUGAGCCUCUGACUUAGGAUCAGGUCAUGAUUUCACUGCUAGUGGGUUCAAGCCCUGCAUCAGGCU
rnacentral:tRNA from 1 species